rnacentral:rRNA from 1 species
GACGAACGCUGGCGGCGUGCUUAACACAUGCAAGUCGUACGGUAAGGCCCUUUCGGGGGUACACGAGUGGCGAACGGGUGAGUAACACGUGAGUAACCUGCCCACAACUUUGGGAUAACGCUAGGAAACUGGUGCUAAUACUGGAUAUGUGCCCCUGCUUCAUGGUGGGGGUUGGAAAGCUCCGGCGGUUGUGGAUGGACUCGCGGCCUAUCAGCUUGUUGGUGGGGUAGUGGCCUACCAAGGCGGCGACGGGUAGCCGGCCUGAGAGGGUGACCGGCCACAUUGGGACUGAGAUACGGCCCAGACACCUACGGGAGGCAGCAGUGGGGAAUAUUGCACAAUGGGCGCAAGCCUGAUGCAGCAGCGCCGCGUGCGGGAUGACGGCCUUCGGGUUGUAAACCGCUUUCAGCAGGGACGAAGCUUUUUGUGACGGUACCUGCAGAAGAAGCACCGGCUAACUACGUG